UCAACUUUUCCCUGGUAUUCUCUAAAUCCCAAUGAUGCUGUAUUAUACUGUUAGUAAUGGUCACCUCUGUAAACUUUCCUUCCGGGUUAAAAACUCCAUGGUGUUUCAUAGAGAAAAGGCUUAUCUGAGCUAAUGCAGGAAGAUAGUUUUGAGCCCAAGUGAUCGUUGAGGUUCUUGUUCAUGGAGAUCAGGUGACAAAGGAUAUUUUUCUGCAAAAGGACAAAUGAUGAUCGACUUGCUUUGGUCCAACAAAUCUGGUGGAUGAAGAUGGAAUUCAAGGUUAGACGUAUCAAGUGCUUUUCGAAAUCCGUAAGUGGACUUUGUUUUAGUUCUUCCAGUAAUUGGCAGGAAUUAUUCGAUUGAGUUUCUUGAGUUGCACAUGUUUUAUGUGGGAUCUAAGCUACUAACAAAUCAAUGCAACUGUUGAUGUCCAGAAAUCCACCUCA